rnacentral:rRNA from 1 species
CCUACGGGAGGCAGCAGUGGGGAAUUUUGGACAAUGGGCGCAAGCCUGAUCCAGCUAUUCCGCGUGUGGGAUGACGGCCUUCGGGUUGUAAGCCACUUUUGUAGAGAACGAAAAGUCUGUUGAUAAUACCGAUAGAUGAUGACGGUACUCUAAGAAUAAGCACCGGCUAACUACGUGCCAGCAGCCGCGGUAAUACGUAGGGUGCGAGCGUUAAUCGGAAUUACUGGGCGUAAAGGGUGUGCAGGUGGUUUUGCAAGAUGGAUGUGAAAGCCCCGGGCUUAACCUGGGAAAGCCAUACAUGACUGCAAGACUAGAGUGCGUCAGAGGGGGGUGGAAUUCCAAGUGUAGCAGUGAAAUGCGUAGAUAUUUGGAAGAACACCGAUGGCGAAGGCAGCCCCCUGGGACGCAACUGACGCUCAUACACGAAAGCGUGGGGAGCAAACAGGAUUAGAUACCCCGGUAGUC